AGAACGAACGCUGGCGGCAUGCCUAACACAUACAAGUCGAACGCUCUUGGUUUCGGCCAAGGGAGUGGCGCACGGGUGAGUAACGCGUGGGAACCUGCCCUGGAGUGGGGGAUAACCGAGGGAAACCUCGGCUAAUACCGCAUACGACCUGAGGGUGAAAGAUUUAUCGCUCUAGGAGGGGCCCGCGUCGGAUUAGCUAGUUGGUGAGGUAACGGCCCACCAAGGCUAUGAUCCGUAGCUGGUCUGAGAGGAUGAUCAGCCACACUGGGACUGAGACACGGCCCAGACUCCUACGGGAGGCAGCAGUGGGGAAUAUUGGACAAUGGGCGCAAGCCUGAUCCAGCAAUGCCGCGUGAGUGAUGAAGGCCUUAGGGUUGUAAAGCUCUUUCACACGCGACGAUGAUGACGGUAGCGUGAGAAGAAGCCCCGGCUAACUUCGCGCCAGCAGCCGC
rnacentral:rRNA from 1 species